rnacentral:rRNA from 1 species
UACGGAGGAUGCGAGCGUUAUCCGGAUUUAUUGGGUUUAAAGGGUGCGUAGGCGGAUCGUUAAGUCAGUGGUCAAAUUGAGGGGCUCAACCCCUUCCCGCCAUUGAAACUGGCGAUCUUGAGUGGAAGAGAAGUAUGCGGAAUGCGUGGUGUAGCGGUGAAAUGCAUAGAUAUCACGCAGAACCCCGAUUGCGAAGGCAGCAUGCCGGCUUCCUACUGACGCUGAAGCACGAAAGCGUGGGGAUCGAACAGG